CCUACGGGGUGCAGCAGUGAGGAAUAUUGGUCAAUGGGCGGAAGCCUGAACCAGCCAAGUCGCGUGAGGGAUUAAGGCCCUGCGGGUCGUAAACCUCUUUUGCCGGGGAGCAGUGGUCCGGACGCGUCCGGACCGGGAGAGUACCCGGAGAAAAAGCAUCGGCUAACUCCGUGCCAGGGGGCGCGGUCAUACGGAGGAUGCGCGCGUUAUCCGGAUUUAUUGGGUUUAAAGGGUGCGUAGGCGGGCAUUUAAGCCGGCGGUCAAAUGUCGGGGCUCAACCCCGGCGUGCCGGCGGAACUGGGUGCCUUGAGUGGGCGAGAAGUAUGCGGAAUGCGUGGUGUAGCGGUGAAAUGCAUAGAUAUCACGAAGAACCCCGAUUGCGAAGGCAGCUUACUAAACUGUGACUGACAUUGAUGCUCGAAAGUGUGGGUAUCAAACAGGAUUAGAUACCCGGGUAGUC
rnacentral:rRNA from 1 species